CCUCACUCUGAAGUACAUGAACCCGUCUUUCGAAUCCUGCUUCUGGGAAAAACGUAAAUGAAGACAAAGAUGCAGAUGAGUUCUAGCCCAUACAAGAAUAGAGUUUGGAGAUGGACUUGCUUACCCGUCUAAAGGAUGUGGAAUUGGAGAAUAAGUGAGCUAAUCUUGGAAGAAUUUUGCAGCAAAACAGGACAUUUCUCCAUGGAUCCAGAGGAAGUGGUAACUGAGGGUUUGAGCUGUAUAGGGAUCUGGCUUCUUCAUGGGUAUUCCUAGUGGAUGGCCUCAAGUCUACAAUAGAGACUGCUUGGCUGUCUGCAGUGGAAAAGACCUUCAAGUUGACUGUGAGUGGGUGCGACUCAUCAAGAAAAAUAACCUCACCACCACAACAACACAUGAUGGGAGAGACCGAAACUUCUUUGGGAGAACAUAAGGGGGAAAAAAAUAAAAGAAAAAGUGAAGUGUAAAUAUUAUUAAAC
rnacentral:lncRNA from 1 species